AGGGGAAGGGGAUCUUGGCGAGCUGUAGUCCUAGACAAGCCCCUGGGGAUGGGUGAGCAGUGGAAGGAACCGGCCCUAUGUUUCCCCCAGUUCUGGGACCUAUAGGGGUGAGGUUCCCCCAAUUGGGAGGAGGGGUGCGGCAGCCGGUUCCCCGCAGCCUGGUGGGAGACGGGAGAGCCGGGGGCUCUAGACCUCCUCCUCAGCCUGGACUUCGGCGCACAGCGGGCACGGAGCCCCCGAGGUGAGAUGCAAAGAGAGGAAGUAGCUCCCUCCGGAUCACACCAUCGGGGAGCCUUGUGGCAGGACUGGAACUCGAGCUGUGUUCUAGAGCCUGUGCUUCAUCUCCAACAUGUGGCAAAAAUGACCAAAGGUGGCUCACGAGGUUGGGUGACUCAUGGGUCAGGAGGUUACAUCGAACCUGCCAAGUGCAUGUGACACAGUGUCAAUUGAUCUGAGGAAUCCAAUUUGGACAAAAUCAGAAUCAAAGAAUUGAUUGUCUUGUAUUUGAGUUCAGGAUCUGCUACGUGCUGUGUGGCCUCCGGUGAAUCCUGGUUUUCUUGAAAAGGAACUGAGUUUCCAUCUGCUUAGUGCCUGGCUAUAGAAGAGGUUUGGGGCCUGCAGAGGCCUGGGCUGUGUGUCCCUUCUGGACUAGACCACAUUGUGUUCUCACGGAAGCGUAGCUGUAGAGAGUGAAGGCUUCGCUCAGACCCGCAGCAUCCUGGCAUAGUCAGCAAGUGCGGGAAGAGAGCAGAAGACCUGUAGGACUCUGCUCCAUGGUCUACAAGGGCUUGCUUGGCAAUUGUGUGGGGCAACAAAAGAGUUUUGCCAGCAGCCCUUCCUGGACAAUCGGGCCCAGCUUUAACCAUACUUGGGGAGUGUUCUGGCCUCUUUCUUCCACCUAGAAAACUGUAAGCCUACAGCGACAGCUGUGAAUCAUGUCCUUGACCCUAUCUCUGCUUGUUCCCCGGCCCCAUAUCGUUUGUGAAGACAAAACAAGAGUGAGCAAGGGAAAUUUCACUAGUGGAGUCUCUACAUCCUUAUAGAACUCAUUCUAAUGGCUUCCGGCCCAAGAGCAAAGCAAGGGCUGUUCUUAGAACUGAGAUUCACAGAAGAUAUACACCCUGUAUCAUUGAAGGUUUGCAGGCCACCUUUGAGAAGAUCCCCAGGUCUUGACGAGCCUCAAGGCAGGACGGGGGGAAGGCUUAUCAGCUUAUCAGUCAUCUAUCUCCAGUAGGGAGUCAUUUCCCAGAUAAACUUAGCACUAUUCUAUUGUACUAUUGUACUAUUCUACUUGAGCUGUUAUACAAAAUACCUAACUAUGUCUUUUA
rnacentral:lncRNA from 1 species